UUAGAAGCCUGAGUAGGCUCUAGAAGAAGGUUAUGGAUCAUUUUUUUUCAUAUUCAGUAUACAAUUUAAUAAACUUUUUAGUACAUUUACAGAGUUGUGGAAUCAUCCCUACAGUUUUCUUUUGAAACAACUCUAUGAAUUCCCCAAGCAAAAAAAAAAAUUAAUGAAAAAGAAAAAUAUCACAAUAUAUUUGAAGUAGCUGGGAUUACAGGUGCCCUCUACCAUGCCUGGCUAUUUUUUUUUCUA
rnacentral:lncRNA from 10 species